GAUGAACGCUGGCGGCGUGCCUAAUACAUGCAAGUCGAGCGAACAGACCAGGAGCUUGCUCCUCUGACGUUAGCGGCGGACGGGUGAGUAACACGUGGAUAACCUACCUAUAAGACUGGGAUAACUUCGGGAAACCGGAGCUAAUACCGGAUAAUAUAUUGAACCGCAUGGUUCAAUAGUGAAAGACGGUUUUGCUGUCACUAAUAGAUGGAUCCGCGCCGCAUUAGCUAGUUGGUAAGGUAACGGCUUACCAAGGCAACGAUGCGUAGCCGACCUGAGAGGGUGAUCGGCCACACUAGAACUGAGACACGGUCCAGACUCCUACGGUAGGCAGCAGUAGGGAAUCUUCCGCAAUGGGCGAAAGCCUGACGGAGCAACGCCGCGUGAGUGAUGAAGGUCUUCGGAUCGUAAAACUCUGUUAUUAGGGAAGAACAAAUGUGUAAGUAGCUAUGCACGUCGUGACGGUACCUAAUCAGAAAGCCACGGCUAACUACGUG
rnacentral:rRNA from 1 species